CACGUAGGGGGCAAGCGUUGUCCGGAUUUAUUGGGCGUAAAGAGCUCGUAGGCGGUUCGGUAAGUCGGGUGUGAAACCUCCAGGCUCAACCUGGAGACGCCACCCGAUACUGCUGUGACUAGAGUCCGGUAGGGGCGAGUGGAAUUCCUGGUGUAGCGGUGAAAUGCGCAGAUAUCAGGAGGAACACCAAUGGCGAAGGCAGCUCGCUGGGACGGUACUGACGCUGAGGCGCGAAAGCGUGGGGAGCGAACAGG
rnacentral:rRNA from 1 species